AUUCCAGCUCCAAUAGCGUAUAUUAAAGUUGUUGCGGUUAAAAAGCUCGUAGUUGGAUUUCUGCCGAGGACGACCGGUCCGCCCUCUGGGUGAGUAUCUGGUUCGGCCUGGGCAUCUUCUUGGAGAACGUAUCUGCACUUGACUGUGUGGUGCGGUAUCCAGGACUUUUACUUUGAGGAAAUUAGAGUGUUUCAAGCAGGCACACGCCUUGAAUACAUUAGCAUGGAAUAAUAAGAUAGGACCAUGGUUCUAUUUUGUUGGUUUGCGCACCAAAGUAAUGAUUAAUAGGGACAGUUGGGGGUAUUCGUAUUCCGUUGUCAGGGGUGAAAUUCUUGGAUUUACGGAAGACGAACUACUGCGAAAGCAUUUACCAAGGAUGUUUUCAUCA
rnacentral:rRNA from 1 species